rnacentral:rRNA from 1 species
UACUAUGGCCAUGCCCCCCUAACAAAAACAAAGCCAGUUUGAUCUUGGAAGCUAAGCAGAGUCGGGCCCAGUUAGUACUUAGAUGGGAGACUACCUAGGAAGACCAGGUGCUUUAGGCA